AUUGAACGCUGGCGGCAUGCUUUACACAUGCGAGUCGAACGGUAACAGGCCUUCGGGUGCUGACGAGUGGCGCACGGGUGAGUAAUGCAUCGGAACGUGCCCAGAGGUGGGGGAUAACGCAGCGAAAGCUGUGCUAAUACCGCAUGUGAUCUGAGGAUGAAAGCGGGGGACCAGGCAGCAAUGUUUGGCCUCGCGCCUUUGGAGCGGCCGAUGUCAGAUUAGGUAGUUGGUGGGGUAAAGGCCUACCAAGCCGACGAUCUGUAGCUGGUCUGAGAGGACGACCAGCCACACUGGGACUGAGACACGGCCCAGACUCCUACGGGAGGCAGCAGUGGGGAAUUUUGGACAAUGGGCGCAAGCCUGAUCCAGCAAUGCCGCGUGCGGGAAGAAGGCCUUCGGGUUGUAAAACGCUUUUGUACGGAACGAAAAGGCUCUGGCUAAUACCUGGGGCUGAUGACGGUACCGUAAGAAUAAGCACCGGCUAACUACGUG
rnacentral:rRNA from 1 species